rnacentral:rRNA from 4 species
AAGCGUGUAGGUGUGUGUUCCAGGUAAAUCCGGUUCACUUUAACACUGAGGCGUGACGACGAGGCACUACGGUGCUGAAGCAACAAAUGCCCUGCUUCCAGGAAAAGCCUCUAAGCAUCAGGUAACACGAAAUCGUACCCCAAACCGACACAGGUGGUCAGGUAGAGAAUACCAAGGCGCUUGAGAGAACUCGGGUGAAGGAACUAGGCAAAAUGGUGCCGUAACUUCGGGAGAAGGCACGCUGACACGUAGGUGA